rnacentral:rRNA from 1 species
GUGGGGAAUCUUGCGCAAUGGGCGAAAGCCUGACGCAGCAACGCCGCGUGGGGGAUGAAGGCUCUCGGGUUGUAAACCCCUUUCAGCAGGGACGAAUCAAGACGGUACCUGCAGAAGAAGCCCCGGCUAACUACGUGCCAGCAGCCGCGGUAACACGUAGGGGGCAAGCGUUGUCCGGAUUUAUUGGGCGUAAAGAGCUCGUAGGUGGCUGAGUAAGUCGGAUGUUAAAUCCCCAGGCUCAACCUGGGACACCACCCGAUACUGCUCUGGCUAGAGUCCGGUAGGGGAGCGUGGAAUUCCUGGUGUAGCGGUGAAAUGCGCAGAUAUCAGGAGGAACACCAGCGGCGAAGGCGGCGCUCUGGGCCGGUACUGACACUGAGGAGCGAAAGCGUGGGUAGCAAACAGGAUUAGAUACCCUAGUAGUCC